UUUUCUCAAAGAUAUUAAUAGGGACACAUAUGAAUUGAAAAAUUG
rnacentral:antisense_RNA from 1 species